rnacentral:tRNA from 1 species
UCCUUGGUGGCUCAGACAGUAAAGAAUCUGCCUGCAGUGCAGGAGACCCGGGUUCGAUCCCUGGGUGGGGAA